ACCUCGCCGCGGCCGCGCCGCCAUCUUGAGUGUGGCAGGACCGGCUGGCUUCCAAGCCCUGCUUGCUUUCGAUCCCCUCCCCUUCCUCUCUUUGCCUGCGGUUCCCUACGGCUCUGAUGGCAGGGAGACAGCUUUGCUGGGCCCGGGAUGUGCGCUAAGGAAAGAACGACCUAACGGGCACGCUGCCUGUCUUAGGGAACCCCCCCAAAAGCACUCCUGCGCGGGCCGGAGCAUCUGGGUGGGUGCACUAGGAGGCGCGGGGCUAGCUCAGGAUCGGCUAGGGGCUUGGGCUCCGCCGCCGGCUUGGGGGUGGGGCCGUGGUGACGUGGGCCCUGGACGUAACGGGGACCUGGGUCCUAGCUUCCGCGAGGCUUUGCUACUUCCUGCGGGUCCGGACCUGUCUUCCGUGGUGCCACAGUAUCUUCCAGCUCCGCCCCAUAUCCAAGCUGCGUGCAAAGCAAACCUUCUCCCUGGAUGAUCCCGCACAAGCAAUAAAUGCUCUCCCGUAGGAGAAACAAGAUAGCUGGGGCGAGGGGGAGGGCGUGUGAUGAAGACGGGACGUUCUAAGCGAAGUGCAUCCUUGCACUUGGACACUGACCCAUCUGUAGCUAUUAUUACAGCGCAGAGCCUCGCUGAGACCGUGCAGAGGUUAGGCCUGGACGGAGACAGCGGCUGGGUGCGACUUGCCCGCCUCCCUGCAGGGAUUCUUUGGUAGGGGCCAGUAGGAGGCAGGGGAGUAGCUUCACCCACCUCUGACCGCCCAGUGCCUGCUGAGGACAGGCCCCACCUGCCGUCGGAUGGCCUCUGUGGAGUCGCAGGCUGCAGGUGCCCCGGGGGGGGGGGGUGCUCAGCCACGGAGGCAGAGGUAUGGACGGUGACAGAACCAGAGCUGUCUCCAGCCCCUGCCGCUCCACCCUACACCUGUGGCCUUGAAGGCGUCCACCUCUGGAAACUUGCGCCGCGGAAGAGCCGUCCGCCGGCCUCGGAAAGCUUUGGAGACCCACGGGACACAACUCCCAGCCCGUCCUGAGUCACUGACGUGUGAACGCCCACAGUGACGGAUGCUUACCUGUCCUGUUGUUUUCAAAUUGAUCAUCAGAGUGCCAACUGCCCCCCUGCCCGCCCGCCCCGUGCCUAUGCCUGUUCUGCCAGGGAGCCCUGUGAGACGCAUUUCCUGCCUCCGAUCUGCCCCGGGGAGCCGCGCUGGGAGCAAGGCUCAGGUGAAGACAUACACAAUCCAGCAGCAGGACUGCGGCUGGUGCCCGGGGUGCCCAGCGCCAGUUCCAUUAAACACCCUGUUCUCUCGGAGAGAGAGGAAACGGGACAAGGAGGAAAACUUGUCUGCCUCCACGUGGGACCCUGGGGGUCUCCGUGGCCGGAUCUUGCAGGUUUUUCUAGCCAGGUGUUCAACACUGCUCCUCACCUUUGAACUUUUAUGUAUGU